CGACACCACCGUGGUGAGCCUCUUGUUCUUAUCUUCUUUAUGAUACUUGUCUGAUUUUCUUACUUUAGAUAGAUAUUUGUCUGAUUUUCUUAAUUUUGACACACAUAAUUAUAUGUAAUGCACGCAGAUGAACCGACAAUGGAUGUAUGGUGACAAAAAUAAAGAAGGUUCGCAAGCCACAAGCUGGAGACCAUUGGAUCUCUGUGAUUCACCAUGGAGCCAUAGGUCUUAUUCUGUUUUAUGACAUUAUAUCUAAGAACGAGGACUAGGUCUUAUGAGAGACAAGUUAUUCUAGUUUAUAUUAUUACUUGACAUGAUCGAUUAAUUAGGAUGCAUGAUGCAUAUGAUGACUAUAUAUAUAUUAUGAUGUUUCUCUGUUUUAUUUUAUGUGUAUCAUAUGAUAACUUGGUAUAUGAUUAAGUUGAUGAUGAGUUGUUAGAUGAUCGAUUAGAAUACUAUUGCCAUUCGAC
rnacentral:lncRNA from 1 species